rnacentral:rRNA from 1 species
UACGUAGGGAGCAAGCGUUGUCCGGAAUCAUUGGGCGUAAAGCGCGCGUAGGCGGCCCGAUAAGUCCGCUGUGAAAGUCAACGGCUCAACUGUUGGAUGCCGGUGGAUACUGUCGGGCUAGAGUACGGAAGAGGCAAGUGGAAUUCCCGGUGUAGCAGUGAAAUGCGUAGAGAUCGGGAGGAACACCAGUGGCGAAGGCGACUACCUGGACCAGCACUGACACUGAGGCACGAAAGCGUGGGGAGCAAACAGG